GAUGAACGCUAGCGGGAGGCCUAACACAUGCAAGCCGAGCGGUAUUGUUUCUUCGGAAAUGAGAGAGCGGCGUACGGGUGCGUAACACGUGUGCAACCUGCCUUUAUCUGGGGGAUAGCCUUUCGAAAGGAAGAUUAAUACUCCAUAACAUAUUGAACGGCAUCGUUUAAUAUUGAAAGCUCCGGCGGAUAGAGAUGGGCACGCGCAAGAUUAGCUAGUUGGUGAGGUAACGGCGCACCAAGGCGAUGAUCUUUAGGGGGCCUGAGAGGGUGAUCCCCCACACUGGUACUGAGACACGGACCAGACUCCGACGGGAGGCAGCAGUGAGGAAUAUUGGACAAUGGGUGAAAGCCUGAUCCAGCCAUCCCGCGUGAAGGACGACUGCCCUAUGGGUUGUAAACUUCUUUUGUAUAGGGAUAAACCUACCCUCGAGAGGGUAGCUGAAGGUACUAUACGAAUAAGCACCGGCUAACUCCGUGCCAGCCGCCGCCGUAACAC
rnacentral:rRNA from 1 species